rnacentral:rRNA from 1 species
UACAGGGGGUGCAAACGUUGCUCGGAAUCAUUGGGCGUAAAGCGCACGUAGGCGGUCUGUUAUGUCGGAUGUGAAAUCCCCGGGCUCAACCUGGGAAUGGCAUUUGGGACUGCAAGGCUUGAGUGCGGCAGAGGAGACUGGAAUUCCUGGUGUAGCAGUGAAAUGCGUAGAUAUCAGGAGGAAUACCGAUGGCGAAGGCAGGUCUCUGGGCUGACACUGACGCUCAUGCACGAAAGCGUGGGGAGCAAACAGG